AACUUUCAACAACGGAUCUCUUGGCUCUCGCAUCGAUGAAGAACGCAGCGAAAUGCGAUAAGUAAUGUGAAUUGCAGAUUUUCAGUGAAUCAUCGAAUCUUUGAACGCACCUUGCGCUCCUU
rnacentral:rRNA from 2 species